rnacentral:lncRNA from 1 species
AUGGCUCCGGGGUGGGGCGGGGUCUAUCUCUCUCUCCCACGGGGAGACCCUCCUGGGUUCGCAGCUCUAGCCCCAGGCCAGCCCAGUCCUGGUUCUUGUGGGCAUUCGGGGAUGCACCAGCAGACGGGAGCCCUGUCUGUCGGUCUGUCUCUUUGUCUUUGUCUCUCUUUCUCUGCUCCUCAAACAAGGUUAAAUAAACCGAUAGACCGCCAGCCCCUCAGAGCCGACUCUGUCCUUAGGCAAGGUUGGCUCCCGUCGGGGUCGGGGUCCUCAGACAGAGGCGGCAGGCCCAGGGGUGCUCGGGCCCGGCUGUGGGGUCAGAGGCGGCAGGCCCAGGGGUGCUCGGGCCCGGCAGUGGGGUCAGAGGCGGCAGGCCCAGGGGUGCUCGGGCCCGGCUGUGGGGUCAGAGGCGGCAGGCCCAGGGGUGCUCGGGCCCGGCUGUGGGGUCGUGGGUCCUCAGACAGAGGCAGCAGGCCCAGGGGUGCUCGGGCCCGGCUGUGGGGUCAGAGGCAGCAGGCCCAGGGGUGCUCGGGCCCGGCUGUGGGCCAGAGGCGGCAGGCCCAGGGGUGUUCGGGCCCGGCUGUGGGGUCAGAGGCGGCAGGCCCAGGGGUGCUCGGGCCCGGCUGUGGGGUAAGAGGCGGCAGGCCCAGGGGUGCUCGGGUCUGGCAGUGGGGUCGUGGGUCCUCAGACAGAGGUGGCAGGCCCAGGGGUGCUCGGGUCCAGCUGUGGGGUCAGAGGCAGCAGGCCCAGGGGUGCUCGGGCCCGGCUGUGGGGUCAGAGGCGGCAGGCCCAGGGUGCUCGGGCCCGGCUGUGGGGUCAGAGGCGGCAGGCCCAGGGGUGCUCGGGCCCAGCAGUGGGGUCGUGGGGCAGGUGUGUGAUCUGGUGACAGCCUCGAGGCACAGACGUCGUUCCGCGCCUCGGUCUCGUGCCUCGGCCUCGGGUCCUUUCCUCAGCCAGGCAGGGGCCACCCACGGGGCAGCAGGGGUUCAGCUGAAGGAGUGCCUUCCUACUGGCACCGGCACUGAGGUGUGCUCAAGAUUCACGACUGCAGGGCCGGCGCUGUGGCGUAGCGGGUAAUGCCGCCGCUUGCAGAGCCGGCAUCCCAUAUGGGCUCUGGUUCAAGACCUGACUGCUCCACUUCUGAUCCAGCUCUCUGCUAUGGCCGGGGAAAGCAGUAGAAGAUGGCCCAAGUGCUUGGGCCCCUGCACCCGCAUGGGAGACCAGGAGGAAGCUCCUGGCUCCUGGCUUUGGAUUGGCACAGCUCCGGCCAUUGUGGCCAACUGGGGAGUGAACCAUUGGACGGAUCUCUCUCCCUCCCUCUCUCUACCUCUGCCUCUCUGAAACCUAUAACUCUGCCUUUCAAAUAAAUUACUAAAUCUUUAAAAAAAAGAAAAAAAA